GCCGGAAAUCCACUGAUGGAUUUUGAAGCAAUGACUUCAUUCCAGUUUUACUCAUUGCGAUUUCACCAGGGACUAUUUCAGCCUUGGGGACCCUCAGGUGCAGCCUGGUGACAAGAGUAUCCAAGGGAACAGAGGUAGGACUUUGGUCACUCACUGCUCUGGGACUGAGGCACCCAGAGGGAUGUUCCUGGGGCCCUCUUUCGGAGGCCCCCAAGAGAAUAUUCUUAGGUUGAAGGUGAAGCAGGCUGUUGCUAAGGAACCUUUCAGCAUCACCCCUAGGGAGGGACACAGAUGAGCG
ensembl:lncRNA